UGCUUACUACUUGAAUAAUUUGAUAUGUUUGUAUAUAACAUCCUCAGUUUGGAAUAAAUUGGGAUUAAUUAUCAUAAAUUGUUGGGCUUUAUUUUUAUUUUUAUUUUUUUUUAGUUUUUGGAUUUUGGAAUAACUUAAAACAAUUGAGGAGAUAAUGAUGUGGUUUUAAAUUGAUUUAAAUAUUUGAAAAGAUUUAAUUUGUAUCACAUUGAUGGAGUUUAUGCACUUUAAUUUUAGUUUUUGGAGUCUAAAUUAAGGUUAUUUGAGAAGUUAAUUGGUUUAUUAAUUUGAUAGAAUUUUUUGGAGAUUUUGAAGAUAUUGUGAUAAAAUAUUUUAUUUAUCUUUUUAAAACUUGAAAAAAAUGAAAAAAAAAAUGGGAUAUUUGAAAUUAAAAGAGAGUGAAAAUAGGCAAAAAAAAAUCAGAAAAAAAGACGCAGUUCAAUUUUUCAGCAACAACUUCCACAAAAUUAUUGAUUUUCGAAGUUUGAAACAUUGGAUUGUGUUGAAAUUUGGUCAAUCUGUUCAUGACAUAUAGAGUCUCGUUUUGAAUGGUUGGAUCAUUGUUUAGAGCUGUGGUUUGUCGUAAUUGCUGCUGAAUAGAAUCUGUAAAAUUGGUAAACCCCCCUUCCCUCUCACUCUUGCAAACCUUCCUCAUGCAAGACCCUCACUACCAGUCGCUAGUCUAAACAAUUUGCGUCUUCUGAUAGCAAUGCCCGCUGCCUGUCUAUGGUUUCCACCACCGCCAUUGUUGCUAGCGCCAUUAUCGCCGGAAUUGAUAUUUUGAACGCUCAAGGUGUUUUCCGACAAGAUUAAAAUUGUUCGGCGUCCUUCUUUAUAAGUUGUUGGAUCGUGUUGAUUUUGAAGCUUCGAAGUGGUGUUGGAUCAAACCACGUGUUGGGUAAAGGAAUGGACAGAACAACGAAUGACAAGAGGAAUCCGUGAUCGGGCCAUAGGAUUUGACAACGCUUCUGCAUAUGUUGUUUUUUUAUAUUUGCAAGUUUUUAACUUUGUAAUUAAACCUUUAAAUUCUCUGAACAUUUCAAUAGGUUUUUUAUUUAAUUUAUUUUAAAUUAAAGUUAGGAGUA